rnacentral:rRNA from 1 species
CAGCAGCCGCGGGAAUACGAAGGGGGCUAGCGUUGCUCGGAAUGACUGGGCGUAAAGGGCGCGUAGGCGGUUCACGCAGUCAGAUGUGAAAUUCCUGGGCUUAACCUGGGGGCUGCAUUUGAGACGCGUGGGCUUGAGUGUGAAAGAGGGUCGUGGAAUUCCCAGUGUAGAGGUGAAAUUCGUAGAUAUUGGGAAGAACACCGGUGGCGAAGGCGGCGACCUGGUUCACAACUGACGCUGAGGCGCGAAAGCGUGGGGAGCAAACAGGAUUAGAUACCCCCGUAGUCCCUGUCUCUUAUAC